rnacentral:rRNA from 1 species
UGGUGGAGUGAUUUGUCUGGUUAAUUCCGUUAACGAACGAGACCUCGACCUACUAAAUAGUAUUGGGCCAUCUCCGGAUGGCGCCUUACUUCUUAGAGGGACUAUCGGUUCGUAGCCGAUGGAAGUUCGAGGCAAUAACA